UCGGGAAUUUUGGGCAAUGGGCGAAAGCCUGACCCAGCAACGCCGCGUGAAGGAUGAAGUAUUUCGGUAUGUAAACUUCGUAAGAAUAGGAAGAAUAAAUGACGGUACUAUUUGUAAGGUCCGGCUAACUACGUGCCAGCAGCCGCGGUAAUACGUAGGGACCAAGCGUUGUUCGGAUUUACUGGGCGUAAAGGGCGCGUAGGCGGUUUGUCAAGUCAGUUGUGAAAUCUCCGAGCUUAACUCGGAACGGUCAACUGAUACUGUCAAACUAGAGUACAGAAGGGGCAAUCGGAAUUCUUGGUGUAGCGGUGAAAUGCGUAGAUAUCAAGAGGAACACCUGAGGCGAAGGCGGGUUGCUGGGCUGAUACUGACGCUGAAGCGCGAAAGCUAGGGUAGCAAACGGGAUUAGAUACCCUUGUAGUCCCUGAGCGGGCUGGCAAGGCGC
rnacentral:rRNA from 1 species